GGGAAGGGAUAAGUCUCUUGUAAAACCUCGAAAUUUUUUUCUUCAUUAGUUGUAAUAAAUAUGCCACACACAUGCAAGAUGCAAACAAUAGGAGAAACUGGGCAGGGGAAAGGAGAGUAUAUGGGAAAUAUUAAUACUUUCUCAGUUUUUCUGAGCAGUUUUCUGUAACCCUAAAACUGCUCUUAAAAUAAAGUCUAUUUUAAAAAAUCAAUGAUAUGUUUCAAAGGAAACUGAAUAUAUGGCAUAGAACUUUUUCAGAACUUAGAGGGAAGGGCUAAAAAUAAUGAGAAACUCUAUAAUGAAUAUGAACAUACUGAUCAGGUGUAUCUUAUAAGCUAAUGAGAAAAAAUGAGGAUUAGAGAAGGAAGCAGAUUGUAAUAAAUAAAUCAUUAAGAAAGAAUAAACAAUUUAUCCACAUGGGCAAAAUCUCAUAUUGGAAGGAGGAGAAGAAGAUGGAGGAGAAGGGGGAGGAAGGUGAGGGUAUGUAGGAGGAGGAGAAGUAGGAGGAGGAAGAGUAAGAGAAAAAGGAGGAAGAGACUCGUAGAGAUGCACUUGCAGACAUUGAGAAAUUUUUUAAUGGCAAGGCUGAAGACUAAAGAAUUGAGUCAAUUUCAAAGGAAUGAAAAAAUAAGCUUUGCAUUUUAAUUAUUGUCUGCAACAUUAAAAGUACUAAUAAAAUAUAAAAAUAAUCUAUGGGAUUUUUGAGGUGAAAAGAUUGAUCCUUCUAUGGUCAGAGAAUGUUUUGUUCAUGUGCACUAUUCUUGGCAUACAAGAUUCAGUUGUGAAUCACUUCUAAAUUCUUUCCGGAAAAUAUUCUUCAAGACAUAUUACAGGCCUUUGACAACAACACAGAUAAAGCGUCCACAGACCGUCUUCCUAGUUUAUUUACAUAGAAAUGCUGGAUAAAAUGUGAAUGUGAAAAUAUCAUUUAUUUGAAUAGGAGAAUGUUUGAGGGCACACAUAUUAAAAAGAAAAAGAAAAAAAGAAACAGAUAUUAUUUAUUUGUUCCAUUAUAUCCCCCACUACCCACUCUCAUUUUCUCCCCUGCCGCAUCAGUAACCAGGUCGAUCUGUUUAAUGUGUGCCUGUUGUUGGUAUGUCUUUCUGGCAAAAUGUGUGGAAUUUCGGAUGCAUAUAUAUAUAUCUUGUGUUAUAAAACUCUGUUAAAAAUUUUCACUCAAAACUGUUUUUCUCAAUAUUUUACUAAAAAAAAUUUUUUUUGAAGACAGGGUCUUACCUUGUCACCUAGGCUAGAGUGCAGUGGUAUGAUCACAGUUCACUGCAGCCUUGACCAACUGGGCUCAAGCCAUCUUCCCACCUCAGCCUCCAAAGUAGCUGGGACUAUAGUUGUGCCCAAUCACACAUGGCUAAUUUUUUUUUUUUUUUGCAAAGAUGGGGUCCCACUAUGUUGCCCAGGCUGGUCUCAAACUCCUGGCCUCAAGUGAUCCUCCCACCUUGGCCUCCUAAAGUGCUGGCAUUGUAGGCAUGAGCCACUGUGCCUAGCCCUGAAAUUUUAUAACAUAAAGAAGAGUUGGAAGAAUUAUACAGUAGUCACCCAUAUAUUCUCAGCUUAGAUACUAAAAUUAGCAACAUUUAUGUCUUAGCCAUCUAUCUAGCUAUCUUAUUACUUAUCCAUCAGAACAUUAACAUUACCCCACAAAUUCCCUCAUGACACUUUCCAGUCAGUCUCUAACCCCUUCCCCCAGUGGCAACCACUGUUCUACUUUUUCACCAUAAAUUUUACUAAUUUUAGAAUAUGAAAUAUAUGGAACCAUACGGUAAGAACUCUUCUGUAUUACAAUUCUUUGAGUAUAGUGUUUUUCAGAUCCAUCCAUGUUGAUGCACAUAUUAGUCAUUUGAUCCUGAAGUGAUGUUCUAUUGUAUGAAUAUAAGUCUUUGGAAACUUGCUUACAUUUUAAUUGUUUAAAUAUUUUUAUGAAUAAAGAUCCUGCAGCAUACUUAUAAAAGUCUUUUU
rnacentral:lncRNA from 1 species